rnacentral:rRNA from 1 species
GAUGAACGCUGGCGGCGUGCUUAACACAUGCAAGUCGAACGGUGAAGCAGAGCUUGCUCUGUGGAUCAGUGGCGAACGGGUGAGUAACACGUGAGCAACCUGCCCCUGACUCUGGGAUAAGCGCUGGAAACGGCGUCUAAUACUGGAUAUGAGCUGCGACCGCAUGGUCAGCAGUUGGAAAGAUUUUUCGGUCUGGGAUGGGCUCACGGCCUAUCAGCUUGUUGGUGAGGUAAUGGCUCACCAAGGCGUCGACGGGUAGCCGGCCUGAGAGGGUGACCGGCCACACUGGGACUGAGACACGGCCCAGACUCCUACGGGAGGCAGCAGUGGGGAAUAUUGCACCAUGGGCGAAAGCCUGAUGCAGCAACGCCGCGUGAGGGAUGACGGCCUUCGGGUUGUAAACCUCUUUUAGCAGGGAAGAGGCGAAAGCGACGGUACCUGCAGAAAAAGCGCCGGCUAACUACGUG